GACGAACGCUGGCGGCGUGCUUAACACAUGCAAGUGGAGCGACGAACCAGGGCUUGCCCUGGGGCAAAGCCGCGAACGGGUGAGUAACACGUGGGUAACCUGCCCCGAUGACCGGGACAACUCGAGGAAACUCGGGCUAAUACCGGAUGUGUCCGUGCGCCAUCAGGCGUGCGGGGAAAGGUAGCUUCGGCCUCCGCAUCGGGAUGGGCCCGCGGCCCAUUAGCUUGUUGGCGGGGUAACGGCCUACCAAGGCGACGAUGGGUAGCUGGUCUGAGAGGACGAUCAGCCACACUGGGACUGAGACACGGCCCAGACUCCUACGGGAGGCAGCAGUGGGGAAUCUUGCGCAAUGCGCGAAAGCGUGACGCAGCAACGCCGCGUGGGGGAAGAAGGCCUUCGGGUUGUAAACCUCUUUCAGUUGGGACGAAGCUCCGUCGGUGAAUAGCCGACUGGAGUGACGGUACCUUCAGAAGAAGCCCCGGCUAACUACGUGCCAGCAGCCGCGGUAAUACGUAGGGGGCAAGCGUUGUCCGGAAUCAUUGGGCGUAAAGCGCGUGUAGGCGGUCCGGUAAGUCCGCUCUGAAAGCCCGGGGCUCAACCCCGGGAGGCGGGUGGAUACUGCCGGACUAGAGUCCGGAAGAGGCGAGUGGAAUUCCUGGUGUAGCGGUGAAAUGCGCAGAUAUCAGGAGGAACACCGAUGGCGAAGGCAGCUCGCUGGGACGGUACUGACGCUGAGACGCGAAAGCGUGGGGAGCGAGCAGGAUUAGAUACCCUGGUAGUCCACGCCGUAAACGAUGGGCACUAGGUGUGGGGGGUGUCGACUCCCUCCGUGCCGACGCUAACGCAUUAAGUGCCCCGCCUGGGGAGUACGGCCGCAAGGCUA
rnacentral:rRNA from 1 species